UAGGGAAUAUUGCGCAAUGGGCGAAAGCCUGACGCAGCAACGCCGCGUGAGUGAUGAAGGCCUUCGGGUUGUAAAACUCUGUCAGAUGGGAAGAACCUUGACCGAUUUAUAAGAUCGGACAACUGACGGUACCAUCAGAGGAAGCUCAGGCUAACUCCGUGCCAGCAGCCGCGGUAAUACGGAGGGAGCUAGCGUUGUUCGGAAUUACUGGGCGUAAAGGGCGCGUAGGCGGGGAUGUAAGGCAGAUGUGAAAA
rnacentral:rRNA from 1 species